AGAGUUUGAUCCUGGCUCAGGACGAACGCUGGCGGCGUGCCUAACACAUGCAAGUCGAGCGAUGAAAGAGAAGUGGCGGUCUUCGGACCAAAGCAUUUCUGGAUUAGCGGCGGACGGGUGAGUAACACGUGAGCAACCUGCCUAUCACAUCGGGAUAGCCUCGGGAAACUGGGAUUAAUACCGAAUGAAACAUAUUGAUAACCUUAUCGAAAUGUCAAAGAUUUAUCGGUGAUAGAUGGGCUCGCGUCUGAUUAGCUAGUUGGUGAGAUAAAAGCCCACCAAGGCAAUGAUCAGUAGCCGGCCUGAGAGGGUGAUCGGCCACAUUGGGACUGAGACACGGCCCAAACUCCUACGGGAGGCAGCAGUGGGGAAUAUUGCACAAUGGAGGGAACUCUGAUGCAGCGACGCCGCGUGAGCGAAGAAGGAAUUCGUUUCGUAAAGCUCUGUCUUCAGGGACGAUAAUGACGGUACCUGAGGAGGAAGCCACGGCUAACUACGUGCCAGCAGCCGCGGUAAUACGUAGGUGGCGAGCGUUGUCCGGAUUUACUGGGCGUAAAGGGAGCGUAGGUGGAUUUUUAAGUGAGAUGUGAAAUACUCGGGCUUAACCUGAGUGCUGCAUUUCAAACUGGAAGUCUAGAGUGCAGGAGAGGAGAAGGGAAUUCCUAGUGUAGCGGUGAAAUGCGUAGAGAUUAGGAAGAACACCAGUGGCGAAGGCGCUUCUCUGGACUGUAACUGACGCUGAGGCUCGAAAGCGUGGGGAGCAAACAGGAUUAGAUACCCUGGUAGUCCACGCCGUAAACGAAGAAUAAUAGGUGUAGGGGGUGUUUGACCCUCUGUGUCCCCGCUAACGUAUAAAGUAUUCCGCCUGGGGAGUACGGUCGCAAGAUUAAAACUCAAAGGAAUAGACGGGGGCCCGCACAAGCAGCGGAGCAUGUGGUUUAAUUUGAAGCAACGCGAAGAACCUUACCUAGACUUGACAUCUCCUGCAUUACUCUUAAUCGAGGAAGUCCCUUCGGGGACAGGAUGACAGGUGGUGCAUGGUUGUCGUCAGCUCGUGUCGUGAGAUGUUGGGUUAAGUCCCGCAACGAGCGCAACCCCUAUUGUUAGUUGCCAUCAUUAAGUUGGGCACUCUAGCGAGACUGCCUGGGUUAACCGGGAGGAAGGUGGGGAGGACGUCAAAUCAUCAUGCCCCCCAUGUCUAGGGCUACACACGUGCUACAAUGGUCGGUACAAUAAGACGCAAGCCCGCGAGGGGGAGCAAAACUGGAAAACCGAUCUCAGUUCGGAUUGUAGGCUGAAACUCGCCUACAUGAAGCUGGAGUUGCUAGUAAUCGCGAAUCAGCAUGUCGCGGUGAAUAAAAAACCGGGCCUUGUACACACCGCCCGUCA
rnacentral:rRNA from 1 species